AUGAGAUUUGCACUGGUCACAGCUAGCACCCUCUGCCAACAACAUAAGAGAAGACUCUAUACAUGGACAUCACCAGAUGGUCAAUACCAAAAUCAGAUUGAUCAUAUUCUUUGCAGCCAAAGAUGGAGAGGUUGUAUAAAGUCAGCAAAAACAAGACUGGGAGCUGGCUGUGACACAGACCAUGAACUCCUUAUUGGCAAAUUUAGACUUAAAUUGAAGAAAGUAGGGAAAGCCACUAGGCAGUUCAGGUAUGACCUAAAUCAAAUCCCUUAUGAUUAUACAGUGGAAGUGACAAAUAGAAUCAAGGGAUUAGAUCUGAUAGAGAGAGUGCCUGAAGAAUUAUGGACAGAGGUUUGUGACAUUGUACAGGAGGCAGGUAUCAAGACCAUCCCCAAGGAAAAGACAGGCAAAAAGGCAAAAUGGUUGUCUGAAGAGGCCUUACAAAUAGCUGUGAAUAGAAGAGAAGUGAAAGGCAAAGAAGAAAAAGAAAGAUAUACCCAUUUGAAUGCAGAGUUCCAAAGAAUAGCAAGGAGAGAUAAGAAAGUAUUCCUCAGCGAUCAAUGCAAAGAAAUAGAGGAAAACAAUAGAAUGGGAAAGACUAGAGAUCUCUUCAAGAAAAUUAGAGAUACCAAGGGAACAUUUCAGGGAAAGGUGGGCACAAUAAAGGACAGAAAUGGUAUGGACCUAACAGAAACAGAAGAUAUUAAGGAGAGGUGGCAAGACUAUAUGGAAAAACUGUACAAAAAAGAUCUUCAUGACCCAGAUAAUCACAAUGGUGUGAUCACUCAUCUAGAGCCAGACGUCCUGGAAUCCAAAGUUAAGUGGACCUUAAGAAGCUUCACUAUGAACAAAGCUAGUGGAGGUGAUGGAAUUCCAGUUGAGCUAUUUCAAAUCCUAAAAGAUGAUGCUGUGAAAAUGCUGCACUCAACAUACCAGCAAAUUUGGAAAACUCAGCAUUGGCCACAGGACUGGAAAAGGUCACUUUUCAUUCCGAUCCCAAAGAAAGGCAAUGCCAAAGAAUGCUCAGACUAUUGCACAAUUGCACUCAUCUCAUACGCUAGUGAAGUAAUGCUCAAAAUUUUCCAAGCCAGGCUUCAACAGUAUGUGAACUGUGAACUUCGAGAUGUUCAAGCUGGUUUUAGAAAAGGGAGAGGAACCAUGGAUCAAAUUGCCAACAUCUGCGGGAUCAUGGGAAAAGCAAGAGAGUUCCAGAAUAACAUCUAUUUCUGCUUCAUUGACUAUGCCAGAGCCUUUGUGUGGAUCACAACAAACUGGAAAAUUCUUAUAAAGAUGGGAAUACCAGACCACCUGACCUGCCUCUUGAGAAACCUGUAUGCAGGUCAGGAAGCAACAGUUAGAACUGGACAUGGAACAACAGAUUGGUUGCAAAUAGGGAAAGGAGUACGUCAAGGCUGUAUAUUGUCACCCUGCUUGUUUAACUUAAAUGCAGAGUACAUGAGAAAUGCUGGACUGAAUGAAGCACAAGCUGGAAUCAAGAUUGCUGGAAGAAAUAUCAAUAACCUCAGAUAUGCAGAUAACACCACCCUCAUGGCAGAAAGUGAAGAGGAUCUAAAAAUCCUCUUGAUGAAAGUGAAAGAGGAGAGUGAAAAAGUUGGCUUAAAACUCAACAAUCGGAAAACUAAGAUCAUGGCAUCUGAUCCCAUCACUUCAUGGAAAAUAGAUGGGGAAACAAUGAAAACAGUGACAGACUUUCUUUUUUUGUGCUCCAAAAUCACUGCAGAUGGUGACUGCAGCCACGAAAUUAAAAGUCAUUUGCUCCUUGGAAAAAAAAGUUAUGACCAACCUAGACAGCAUAUUAAAAGCAGAGAUGUUACUUUGCCAACUAAGGUCUGUCUAGCUAAAGCUAUGGUUUUUCCAGUAGUCAUGUAUGGAUGUGAGAGUUGGACUAUCAAGAAAGCUGAGUGCCGAAGAAUUGCUGAAGCUGAAACUGCAAUACUUUGGCCACCUGAUGUGAAGAACUGA
rnacentral:lncRNA from 1 species